GACGAACGCUGGCGGCGUGCCUAAUACAUGCAAGUUGAGCGCUGAAGGUUGGUACUUGUACCAACUGGAUGAGCAGCGAACGGGUGAGUAACGCGUGGGGAAUCUGCCUUUGAGCGGGGGACAACAUUUGGAAACGAAUGCUAAUACCGCAUAAAAACUUUAAACACAAGUUUUAAGUUUGAAAGAUGCAAUUGCAUCACUCAAAGAUGAUCCCGCGUUGUAUUAGCUAGUUGGUGAGGUAAAGGCUCACCAAGGCGAUGAUACAUAGCCGACCUGAGAGGGUGAUCGGCCACAUUGGGACUGAGACACGCCCCAAACUCCUACGGGAGGCAGCAGUAGGGCAUCUUCGGCCAUGGACGAAAGUCUGACCGAGAAACGCCGAGUGAGUGAAGAAGGUUUUCGGAUCGUAAAACUCUGUUGGUAGAGAAGAACGUUGGUGAGAGUGGAAAGCUCAUCAAGUGACGGUAACUACCCAGAAAGGGACGGCUAACUACGUG
rnacentral:rRNA from 1 species